UGGAAAAUGUUACCUGAAGCUGUCACGAG
rnacentral:piRNA from 1 species